rnacentral:rRNA from 1 species
GACGAACGCUGGCGGCGUGCUUAACACAUGCAAGUCGAACGGAAAGGCCCUGCUUUUGUGGGGUGCUCGAGUGGCGAACGGGUGAGUAACACGUGAGUAACCUGCCCUUGACUUUGGGAUAACUUCAGGAAACUGGGGCUAAUACCGGAUAGGAGCUCCUGCUGCAUGGUGGGGGUUGGAAAGUUUCGGCGGUUGGGGAUGGACUCGCGGCUUAUCAGCUUGUUGGUGGGGUAGUGGCUUACCAAGGCUUUGACGGGUAGCCGGCCUGAGAGGGUGACCGGCCACAUUGGGAAUGACGUACGGGCCAGACUCCUAAGGGAGGCAGCAGUGGGGAAUAUUGCACAAUGGGCGGAAGCCUGAUGCAGCAACGCCGCGUGCGGGAUGACGGCCUUCGGGUUGUAAACCGCUUUCGCCUGUGACGAAGCGUGAGUGACGGUAAUGGGUAAAGAAGCACCGGCUAACUACGUG